CCUCCAAUGUUAUCUAGGGAAGCAGGAGUUAGAGAUUUACCUCCCUGGUGGCCAAAAGUAACAGAACGUGCCCUGCGGAAUAAAUCUUGAGCUGGAUUGGUGAGUCUUGGGUAACUUUUCUGACCUAGAGUAAUAGACUGUGACCUCAAAUGAUUUGAUUGUCCAAUUUCAGUGUUUGGGCUUGCUUGCUGUAAGGACGGUCUGAGCUCUGUACCAUUUGCAUCCAAAGCACCUUCCUUUGUGUAUAUAAGGUGCUGCUUGCAAAUAAACCAUAUGUGACAAGAAGCAGGUGCUUGUAGGCGCACAGAGAUGGCCUUCUUAGACUUGAUGUCCAUCAUAUUCCUUGAAAAUCGCUUGUCUGCCGCUGCUCCCAUAGCAAGCUGCCUGAUACCAUGCCCAGAAAUAAGUUGCAAAAUUCCCUUCUCAAUACUUUCCAUUUCAAUAUAAAGUUUCUCAGCCUGGACCCCCAUUCGCCGACAAAAAAGAAGGUAUUCGUCCAGUGUUUUAUGCAUGUCUUGCCUUUCAAUUUCGCGGAAAGCCCUGACUUCCUGAUCUUUAAGUGAGCUUGCGUGAAAUUUUGUACCCAUCAACGGAAUCAUCUGAGCGGGUUCGUGAACAUGAAUGAUGCAAAUCUUCCUCCCUCCUGAGUUCUGUAAUGCCCAUGUAAGAAGUGAUUUGUUUUCCUUAAAACUUUUUCCCACUGCAACGUAUAUCUUCUCUUCAAGUACCCGUGCCACCGGCUCCUCCACUAUCUCCCUGGCGGCUGCCAUGCUUCCUGGAACUAUAUAUUCAGGAAAGUUUAUCGGAGUCAUCUGUUGGGUAAUUGCAGGAGCAGGACUCACCACAGCCAUGAUAAUUACAGUAAUUAAACACCUCAAUCAUCAAAACUCACCUAAAUUCUAUUAUUUUCACUCUAUUGGAGACUCUCCAAUGUUCAAAGACU
rnacentral:misc_RNA from 1 species